rnacentral:rRNA from 1 species
AAAUGAAUAGACGGGGAGGCGCACAAGCAGUGGAGCAUGUGGUUUAAUUCGAUACAAAGCGAAAAACCUCACCAGGGUUUGACAUGUACUUGCUAAGCCUAUGAAAGUAGGCCUCCUUCGAGGGUAGUACACAGAUGCUGCAUGGCUGUCGUCAGCUCGUGGCGUGAGCUGUACGGUUAAGUCCGGUAACGAGCGCAACCCGCGCCAUAUGUUAAAUAAUUCAUAUGGGACAGCCCCACUUUGUGGGGAGGAAGGAGCGGAUGACGUCAAGUCAGCACGGCUCUUACACCCUGGGCUACACACAUCCUACAAUGGCGAAUAACAACGAGCAGCAAGCUGGUAACAGCAAGCAAAUCUCUUAAAUUUCGCCUCAGUUCAGAUUGAGGGCUGCAAUUCGCCCUCAUGAAGUCGGAAUUGCUAGUAAUCGCAAAUCAGCAGGUUGCGGUGAAUACGUUCUCGCCUCUUGUACACACCGCCCGU